AUCUACGGCGCCCCGUUUCGCUCAGCAGCGCAGGCGUUGCCGUAUCAUCAUUUUUUUCACGAUUUAUUAAUUUACAUGUUUACUUAACUAAUUUAAAUAUUUCGCAUUCAUUUUAUUCAAAUAGUCUCAGUUUAUUUAUUCUUUACUCCACGAUGUCGAGACUUGUCUGACGGGGUUUUUUUUAAAUUUAUAAUUGACAAAGUGCUAAUUAAGUGUCUAAGAUUUUUAAUAAUCGAGUUAAUGAACACAAACUUCUGAGGGACAAAAUAAAUCAGUAAUUAAUAAAGAGAGGAAAAAAAUAAUAGAGAUGGAAGACGCCCACUGUAAAACUGUGGACGAGGUGUUGAACUACUUCAACUGUGAUCAGGAAAAAGGAUUAACACCGGACCAGGUUAAGAGGAACCAGGAAAAAUAUGGUCUCAAUGAAUUGCCGGCUGAGGAGGGAAAAAGUAUUUGGCAACUCGUUUUGGAACAAUUCGAUGAUCUUUUAGUUAAGAUUUUACUGUUAGCUGCUAUUAUUUCUUUCGUAUUAGCUUUAUUUGAAGAGCACGAUGACGCGUUCACAGCAUUCGUGGAGCCCUUCGUCAUCUUACUUAUCCUUAUCGCUAACGCCGUGGUCGGUGUGUGGCAAGAACGUAACGCCGAGUCGGCCAUCGAAGCUCUCAAGGAGUACGAGCCAGAGAUGGGUAAAGUUGUCCGUGCCGACAAAUCCGGAGUCCAGCGGAUUCGCGCCAAGGAAAUCGUACCCGGUGACAUCGUUGAGGUGUCGGUGGGUGACAAGAUCCCUGCCGAUAUCCGUCUGAUUAAAAUUUUCUCGACAACUCUCAGGAUCGAUCAGUCCAUCUUGACCGGAGAGUCGGUGUCAGUAAUAAAACACACUGACGCUAUUCCCGACCCCCGAGCUGUUAACCAGGACAAAAAGAACAUCCUGUUCUCCGGAACCAACGUUGCCGCAGGUAAAGCCCGUGGUGUCGUAAUGGGAACUGGUCUUAACACCGCCAUCGGUAAAAUCCGUGUUGAAAUGUCUGAGACUGAAGAAAUCAAGACUCCCCUGCAACAGAAAUUGGACGAGUUCGGUGAACAAUUGUCUAAAGUCAUCACCGUCAUCUGUAUCGCCGUAUGGGCCAUCAACAUCGGUCACUUCAAUGACCCAGCUCACGGAGGUUCCUGGAUCAAGGGCGCCAUCUACUACUUCAAGAUCGCCGUAGCUUUGGCCGUCGCUGCCAUCCCCGAAGGUCUUCCCGCCGUAAUCACGACUUGUCUGGCUCUCGGUACCCGUCGUAUGGCCAAGAAGAACGCAAUCGUACGAUCACUUCCCUCUGUCGAAACUCUGGGAUGUACAUCAGUCAUCUGCUCCGACAAAACCGGUACUCUGACCACCAACCAAAUGUCCGUCAGCCGCAUGUUCGUCUUCGAGAGGAUCGAGGGUAACGACAGCAACUUCAACGAGUUCGAAAUCACCGGAUCCACUUACGAGCCCAUCGGUGACGUCUAUCUCAAAGGCCAGAAAGUAAAGGGAGCCGAAUUUGAAGCACUCCACGAGCUCGGAACAAUCUGCAUCAUGUGUAACGACUCCGCCAUCGAUUUCAACGAAUUCAAACAGGCCUUCGAGAAAGUCGGCGAGGCCACCGAGACUGCCCUGAUCGUUCUUGCCGAGAAAAUAAACCCCUUCGGCGUACCCAAGACUGGAUUGGACAGACGUACCGCUGCCAUCGUCGUCCGACAAGACAUUGAAACAAAAUGGAAGAAAGAAUUCACUCUGGAAUUCUCCCGGGACCGUAAAUCCAUGUCAUCUUACUGUGUCCCACUCAAACCCUCCAAGCUUGGAACUGGACCUAAACUCUUCGUCAAAGGAGCACCCGAAGGAGUACUCGAAAGAUGUACGCACGCACGUGUUGGUACCAGCAAAGUUCCUCUCACUUCAACCCUCAAGAAUCGCAUCCUCGAUCUCACUCGCCAAUACGGUACUGGACGCGACACCCUCCGUUGUCUGGCUCUCGCUACUUCUGACCACCCAAUGAAACCCGACGAAAUGGACCUUGGAGACUCGAACAAAUUCCACCUCUACGAAAGAGACCUCACGUUCGUUGGAGUCGUCGGUAUGUUGGACCCCCCGCGUAAAGAAGUUUUCGACUCAAUCGUUCGAUGCCGCGCUGCUGGUAUCCGUGUCAUUGUUAUCACUGGUGACAACAAAGCCACCGCAGAGGCCAUCUGCAGACGUAUUGGAGUCUUCGGUGAAGAUGAAGACACCACCGGUAAAUCCUACUCUGGUCGUGAGUUCGACGACUUGCCUAUUGCCCAACAGAGAGAAGCUUGCGCACGUGCCCGGCUAUUCUCACGUGUCGAACCUGCUCACAAAUCAAAGAUCGUUGAAUACUUGCAGAGCAUGAAUGAAAUCUCAGCUAUGACUGGUGAUGGUGUAAACGACGCGCCUGCAUUGAAAAAAGCCGAAAUCGGUAUCGCCAUGGGUUCAGGUACUGCUGUAGCUAAAUCAGCAUCAGAGAUGGUACUAGCUGACGAUAAUUUCUCGUCCAUUGUUGCUGCUGUUGAGGAGGGUCGUGCCAUUUACAAUAACAUGAAACAAUUCAUCCGUUAUCUUAUCUCUUCCAACAUCGGUGAAGUCGUCAGUAUUUUCUUGACUGCCGCCCUUGGUCUUCCUGAGGCUCUUAUCCCAGUCCAACUUCUCUGGGUAAAUCUCGUAACUGAUGGUCUUCCAGCCACCGCCCUUGGAUUCAAUCCACCUGAUCUCGACAUCAUGGACAAGCCACCACGUAGAGCCAACGAAUCAUUGAUCUCUGGUUGGUUGUUCUUCCGUUACCUCGCUAUUGGUGGUUACGUCGGUGCUGCUACCGUUGGAUCUGCUGCCUGGUGGUUCAUGUACAGUCCUAAUGGACCUCAACUUAGUUACUACCAACUGACUCAUCACUUGGCUUGCAUUGGAGGCGGUGAUGAAUUCAAAGGCGUAAACUGUAAAAUAUUCACAGACCCCCACCCCAUGACAAUGGCAUUGUCUGUACUUGUAACUAUUGAAAUGUUGAACGCAAUGAACAGUUUGUCUGAGAACCAGUCAUUGAUCACCAUGCCCCCAUGGUCGAAUAUGUGGCUCAUUGCCUCCAUGGCACUUUCAUUUACACUUCACUUCGUUAUUCUUUACGUUGAAGUUCUUUCGUCUGUGUUCCAAGUAACUCCCUUGUCUGGAGACGAGUGGAUAACAGUAAUGAAGUUCUCAAUACCAGUGGUGCUGCUCGACGAGACCCUCAAGUUCAUCGCUAGAAAAAUAACAGAUGGUGAGAAUCCCCUUUACACCGUUCACGGGAUCAUUCUUAUGUGGGCCGUAUUCUUUGGACUGUUACUUUACGGCCCAAUUUAGAUAACCAUUAUUUUUUUUACAAACUUUUAUUAAUUUAAUUAAAACAAUAAUUAGCUUAAAACCAGCCACCAAUAGCUAAAAAAAUACAUGGAAAUUCGCAGGAAUUUCGGACUUGCUGCAUUUAUUAUUUUAAAACACCGGCUUGACAAAUUCACUCCCGAUUUUUUUAAGAGUUUGUACUUUUGUCUCCCCACCCGAUGCCCUCGUCGCAUGCGAUUGGUCAGUAGCCUUUUGAGUCGUACAAAAAACUUAAACAAUGCAUUUAACCUGACCCUUGUUGCCGUAAUGCGCAAAAAUUACAGAAACAAACAACAAAAUCGAGUGCCUUUGAUAAAAUAGUCGCACUCUGUUAUCUUUCUUCCGUUUUAUUGUUUCCCUUUAAUAGUAAAAUUGCCAAACAAUCGCACAAAACAUCUAAACAAUCCUUUGUUUAUACUGACUAAAAGCUUGCCGACAAUCACCGAUACCUUCUAAUGAAGCAUUUAAAUAUUUCGAGCGUACAAUUAUAUUAUUUAAUUAUAUUUAUAAUUAAUAACGAUUAAUAAUAAUUGUUAAUUAUUAUUAGUUACUACAAAUGUUGUAAAUAAUUUUAAAACAAAUGAAUAAAUAAUCGCGAGAAAUGCUGUACAUUGUUAGCUUAAAUAGUAAUUUAGCUUCUGAAUGAAAGAAUCGGUGAUGAUUAAUCAUCGUCAUCAUCGCAUGACCCAUUAAUUUAAUUUAUAAAAAUGAAAACAAUGAUUUUAACCUAAAAUGGAGUUGUGGAGUUGGCGUUAAUCUUCCGGAACAAAAGUAAUAAACAAAGCUUAUGCAUGUCAAGUCCUCAUUCUUGCGCCUUCCUGUUAAUCAACAAAUAAAAAUACAAUUAAUUGAUUAAUUGAUUGAUUAAUAAAUGAAUAAAUAAAAUAAAUGAUUAAAUUGAGACAAGGCAUUGAGGCGAUCGAGUGGUAAGUUGCGUUAACGCGAUAGGUAAUUUAUUAAUUUAUGAUUAAUCAUUAAUUAAUAAUAAAGAAUAUUAAUAAAUUAAUGAAAAUAAGAUACAUUGUAAUAAUUCAAUUAAUAUUCUUUAUUAAUAGAAAAAUUAAACAGAUUCUUUUAUAACGAAUCAGUUUGUUUUUGUUUUUUUUUUUUUCAAAUAUAUGAACAAUAGAUGAAACCCGUAAGUUCAUUCCACGUGUGUGUGUUUAUCCCAUUUUAUUUUUGUGUGUUAAUGCUUUAAUUAAGAAUUCAUUGUUAUUAUUAAGCCACUGAUUUAUAUUAUAUUAUAUCUAUAUACAUAUUAAUAUUAAUAUCAAUACAACAAUAGUAUAAUAUAAUAUAUAUAUAAAUAUAUUUGUGGGCGAGUCGUGCGCAUUUUUAGUCGCUCUCCUGCGUCGAGUUGUUAAUUUCACGAUCAUUAACCAUCGGUUUAUUUAUUUAUUAAUCAACUUUCGUAACUGCAUAUAUAUUUUAAUAAUUUUUGAAUCUGACUAGACGUAGGAAAUUUUUUAAAAAACCCGUCGCCAAAAUAUCGAGUCUUGACUUUUAAAAUUUAUAACCUAGAUGGAAUUAAUGUAGCUCAAUUUUUAUAUACAAUAAUUAUUGGAUUAAUAGAAGAUAAAAAGUAAUUAACUAUUGAUAAAUAUUAAUAUUAAUAUGAAGAUAUAAUUGAAUUGAUAGUUAAAAAAAAUAGAAAAUCCACUCUACAAUUUUUUAUAACCAACACAAGACUGAGGCGAGUGGUUAAUGUUAAAACAAUCAUGUGAAGAUACAAUAUGCAGAUAUAUAAAUAUAUAGAUAGAUAGUUAAUUAAUUAAUUGUAUUGUUAAUUAAUUAAUUAAUUAAUUUAUUUAUUAAUUAAUAGUUAAGGUGUUUGAGCAUAGACUAGUUUUAUUAAUCAUUACUUUUAAUGGCGCUCGUACUUUGUACAAUAAGAGUUUCAGGUUAAUUAAUAAUUGCACCGUUUUAUUAAUUUUGAUUAAUGGUUAUUAAUUAGUAGAAUUUCUACGUGAAAAAAUUUUAAAUUAAUAUCCAGAGGCUCAUUAAUUAAUUAACAAUUAAUAAUUACUAAUUUGAAGUUUCGAUUAAUGAUUAAUAGUAAAAACAUUUUAAUGGUAAUUAAUAAUUAAUUGUUAAUUAAAAUUAAUGAAUAAAUUUAAAUUAAAAAAAUUAAACAGAAAGUACACAUUAGAGUAAAAUUUAUGGUCUAGUACAAACUUCUUCCAGAGAGAGAAUGAACCUCGGCAUUGCCCCCACUACAUUUAAAUUUCAAACUGCGCAUGCGCAACAAAGAGUGGGGGAAUAUUUAGUGGCAGAGUGGGAGUAAAAACCGGAAAUACCCGAGGUCCACUCUCUCGCUUGGACAUUUUAUGAAAUUAACAAAACAAAAUGGCGCAACGGUGCAAGUAACCUACAAUUAAUGAUUAAUGAAUAAAAUAAUUAAUAAAUCAUCACAUUAAUCACGAUAAACUCGACGUAGGAAGCUAUUUAUAAAUAGUGUGAAUAAAAUGUGUGUUUUGUGUGUCCUAAUACCCCGAGCGCCAACAAAAUUGACCAAUCAUUUAUUUUUUUGUAGUUAAUACCAUUUAAUUAGAAAAAAAACCUAAUUAUUAAUUAUUAAUAACUGAUAAUUUAUAAUUAUAUUAUUUUAAAUACCCAUUCACACGCAUAUUUAUGUCAUUAAUGUUUUAAAAUGUCGUUUGCGUGUGAUGUUAAUUAUGUAUCGAAUCUUUCUCAUUACUAAUGAUUAAUAUAAAGAUUAAUCAUUCAAUUAAUUAUUAAUUUUGUAUCGUAAUAUAUAUCCAUUAGUAAUGAUUUAGAUAUAAUAGCAAGGAUUUUUAUUUUUAAUCAAUUUGUAAACCUUUUCGAUUUGAAUUAAUGAGUAAUUAUUUGUUAUUAAUAAAAAGGAAAUAUUAAUUAAUAAUAAUUGUGUCACAAUUCGUGUCUUUAAGUCACAAUCGGCCUACAUAAUUAUAAAAAAUAAAUAAAAAAAUAUAAUAAACAAUAAAUAUUAUUAAUUUUUAGUUAUUUAUUCAGUUGCAAUUAACGAGCAAAUUAUACGCUAAUUAAUUUUAAUUAAUUGACGAACUAAAAACGGGUUUUAGUAAAAUUUACGAAACGUAUUAAUUAGCAAUCGAAGAAAAACUGUCGAGUAAACAAUAAUAUUUACGACAGUAAUUAUUAUGAUGAAAACAAUUUUAAUGAUAAUGAUAAUUACGUAGUUUUUGCAUGAAGUGUUUAAGUUACCCCUGAAUGAUUACUCAGUGUUUAAUCGCUCGAGUCACCCCGUGUUUUUAUUCCAUUUAAAAAUGUAGCUUGUAAUAACAAGGUUUUUUUGCUGUUUUAACUCCCAUUCCAAUAAACUUUUUAUCUUCUGACGAUCGACGACAAUCAACAGCCGCAAUGCAAUGUUUCGCCACCAGUGAAACCAACGCAGUAAUCAACGCCCGGAUAAUUAUUGCGAGGGAGUAGAAAAAUAAAAUAAACAAAAUCUAAAAUAAAAUAAAAUAAAAUAAAAUAAAAACGAAAAUGUAAUUUAUAAAAAGCAUGUAUAUAAGAUAAUAAACUGGAGAAAAUGGAUAAAUGUCGAGGAGGAAAGACACCUGGUAAACAAGCUGUUGGAGAUAGGAUGACUCUGUAACUCUGAAGAUGGGAGAAAUAAAUAAAAUAGAAUAACGAGUUAAAUGUAUGUGUGUCUGAGUAAACGAGAAAACGAGUUGGAGAAAAGCGAGACGAAAAUUUCUAUUCCUAGUGACCGAUUACUUCAUUCUGGAGCUGUCUCUCCGCGCUACUCCUUUAUACACAUAUAUAUUUAUAUAUCUAUAUAUAUAAAUAUAUAUACUUCUGCUCGAGUGCAGGCAGGAAAGGGAAUUUGAAAAUAACCCGGAAAAGGAGAUUGGAAUAUUAGUAGAAUGAUAGAAAUAAAAUUGAAUAAACUCAAAAAUAAUAAUAAUAAUAAUUUUAAUAAUAAUAAGAGGGAUACUUUUAUUGAUAUAAUGCCUGAGAUUUCAUCUUGGAACCUCGGCUGUAGUAAAUAAAUCCAGUGUUACGUUUUUAAAAUGAAUUACUUUUUAAAAAAGACAUCGAAUUUAAAUCAGUGACAUUUUUUUUUAUUUAUUUACUCACAAGUUAAUAAAUAAUUUUAAUUAACUGUUAAUUAUUUAUAAAAAUUACUUAUCAAAAGUGUUAAUUGUAAUUAAUAAAUAAUUAAUUAUGAUUAAUACGAAGAAAUAUAAAUACUAAUUAACAUGAUACUGAAGUUAGCAGACGUCUAAUAAUUUUCGGAUUUUUUUUUAGACGAUAAAAAAUUUAAAAAAAAAUAUUUGAAAAAAUUGCACUUAUAGUUUUUUAAAUUUUCUGCAUGUGCAUAAUUUUAUUUUUAUUUUUUUUAAAUUAAGUCAUUGAAACAAAAAUUCAAAAGUUUUUAAAUGUCUGCUAAUUUCAGGGUCAUCUAAUUAACUGAGAUAAUAUUAAGACACUAAUCAAGACAUGUACGAACUAAAAGUACUAUUUCGAUCAGUUGUUCUGUUGCUGCUUUUAAUCCAGCCCAUGAUACCCGGGCUUAAAAAAAUAUAUAAAAACAAUGAGCUCAUUAACGUUGCCGCAAUUAUACUCUCAUUGGGCGUGCGAAAGACAACGGCUGUUACCGUAAACAAAACAACAAGAACAACAGGAUACCGAAAGUGGCUGCGUAUGAUCCUGAAGGCCAUUAUUUAACUGCUAACAGACCAACACCAUAGAGCUUACGGAGAAGCUUAACUACCGGGAAGCUUAACUAAUAUAUAAUAAUACCAGAAAGCUUAAACAAACGACAGCCUUGUUCAACAACUUACACCUUCAAGACUCUUGUCUCUAUACAAACCUAAUUUCGAUCGGUUGCGCUGUAAGAAAUUUCGGAGUUAACGCGGAUUAAAUCCCCAGUGGGUGACUGAAUAUUAAUUUAAUUCCCUUGGAAUAAGAUUCAGUCGAGAGAAGAGUUUCAAUUUUGAAACUAUUCCUGAUUGAACAACUGAAAUCAAGCGAAUUAAAAAUUUUAAUUCUGUUAUAUUCUGUCAAAUUCUGCAAAACAGAAUUCAACUGAAUUGAAAAUUUGAAUUUGAAUUAAAAAGAAUAAAAGCGAUUUAAAAAUUUCAAAUUCGUUUUAAUUCGGAUUCAGAACCAGAAAUCGGAGAAUUAUUUUCGAAUUAAUCAGAAUUAUUUAAAUUCGUUUUAAUUUUGACAAAUUCUGGUUUUCCCGCCGAAUUAAACAGAAUUCAUGUUUAAGUUAGCUACCGAAUUAACAGAAUUUAUCUGAAUUAAAUAGAAUUAAAAAUUUAAUUCUGUCGAAUUCUGCAAAACAGAAUUCAACUGAAUUGAAAAUUUGAAUUUGAAUUAAAAAGAAUGAAAGCGAUUUAAAAAUUUCAAAUUCGUUUUAAUUCGGAUUCAGAACCAGAAAUCGGAGAAUUAUUUUCGAAUUAAUCAGAAUUAUUUAAAUUCGUUUUAAUUUUGACAAAUUCUGGUUUUCCUGCUGAAUAAGACAGAAUUAUUCUUUAAUUUAGGUACCGAAUUAACGGAAUUUAUCUGAAUUAAAUAGAAUUAAAAAUUUAAUUCUGUUUAAUUCUGUCGAAUUCUGCAAAACAGAAUUCCACUGAAUUGAAAAAUUGAAUUUGAAUUAAAAAGAAUAAAAGCGAUUUAAAAAUUUCAAAUUCGUUUUAAUUCGGAUUCAGAACCAGACAUUGGAGAAUUAUUUUUUAAUUAAUCAGAAUUAAACCGAAUAGAAGUAUUUAAAUUCGUUUUAAUUCGGACGAAUUCUGGUUUUCCUGCCGAAUUAGACAGAAUUCAUUUUUAAUUUAGGUACCAAAUUAACAUAAUUAAAUAGAAUUAAAAAUUUAAUUCUGUUUAAUUCGAUCGAAUUCAGUUGUUUAAUCAGGGUACGGUUCGGAGUGGAAUUAAUUUCCACAGGAAGUUUAUUUUAAUAUUCAAACUCCGAAUCGGAGGAAAUUCGGAUUUAAAUAAAAUCCGUAAUUACUUCGAAUUUAUUCCCGAUUUUUUACAGUCGACUGAUUUAAUAUCCAAACAAUGCCUAGCUUUGUUACUAGAUUUACUACUUAUUCCACACCUUUUAAUCUCUUUACUUCUAUUUCUCUCUAUUCUUCUUUACUCUACUCUACUCUACUUUAUUCUAUUCUUCUCUAUUCUAUUAAUUCAUUUCUACUUUAAUUUUAAUCAUCAAUUAAUAAACAAUUUCAUUAAAACAAAACUCGAAUUCUAACCCUUCUCUUAAUCACCCGGCAUUUUGUUUAACCUUCCAGCCGCCAUCUUGUUAUUUAUUUUUUAAAAGUUAAAUUACUGUUGGUAAAGUAUGUACGUGUGCGUUCAUGUCUUGCGAGGUGAAUUUUAAAUAAUAAUAUUUAUUAUAAAAAUAAAAAAAUGAAAGUAAUACUUGAGGUUUUCGUCUACAGAGAGGUGUUUUAUUGUUAAAAAUAAAUAUAAAAUUGUAUAUAUAAUUAUGAUAUUAAUAAUUUAUUAUUGACUAUUGAUUAUUAAUAUUAUUAAUUGAAUUAUUCUAUGACGGGAUGUAUAGACAAAAAUUUAAUGCCGUCAUAAUUGAUACGAAUUGUAACAAAUUAUAAUUAUUAUAUUAAUUAUUUAUUAUUUAAAAUAAAAAUUAUAAAUUUAUAAA